UACAGAGGUCCCAAGCGUUGUUCGGAUUCAUUGGGCGUAAAGGGUGCGUAGGCGGCUUGUCGCGUCGACUGUGAAAACCCGCGGCUCAACUGCGGGCCUGCAGCCGAUACGGGCAGGCUAGAGUUCGGUAGGGGAGACUGGAAUUCCUGGUGUAGCGGUGAAAUGCGCAGAUAUCAGGAGGAACACCGGUGGCGAAGGCGGGUCUCUGGGCAGUAACUGACGCUGAGGAGCGAAAGCGUGGGGAGCGAACAGG
rnacentral:rRNA from 1 species